GACGUAGGAGGCGAGCGUUGUCCGGAUUCAUUGGGCGUAAAGAGCACGCAGGCGGUCGUUCAAGUCGCGUGUGAAAGCCCCCGGCUCAACUGGGGAGGGUCACGCGAUACUGAUCGACUCGAAGGCAGGAGAGGGUAGUGGAAUUCCCGGUGUAGUGGUGAAAUGCGUAGAUAUCGGGAGGAACACCAGUGGCGAAGGCGACUUCCUGGCCUGUUCUUGACGCUGAGGCGCGAAAGCUAGGGGAGCAAACGGG
rnacentral:rRNA from 1 species